AGGGGUAUAGCUCAAUUGGCAGAGCGUUGGUCUCCAAAACCAAAGGUUGGGGGUUCGAUGCCCUCCGCCCCUGCCA
rnacentral:tRNA from 1 species